CCUCAGUAAACUGAGUAGAGCUUUCAGUCAGGCUCAAGCAAAUCAAUCCACCGGUCAAUUCUCAGAACUUCAACAUGAUUCAUUUCAUCCUUCUUUGCUGUCUGUCAGGUGUUUGCUGGAGUGUGAAAGUCGACCAGUCUCCUUCUGAUUUCAUCAUAAAACCUGACACCAAGGUUCAGAUGUUCUGCAGCCACGAGAAAAGAGACUACAGGGUGAUUCUCUGGUACCAGCGCACACCCGAAGACACAGCCAUGAAACUCAUCGGAUAUUUACACUUUGCAACUCCCACCAUGGAGAAGGGAUAUAAUGAGAGUUUCACUAUUGGUGGGGAUUUGAGUGGAAAUGAAAAAAAGAAUGUCUCUCUAAGUAUUCAAGUCAAAGGAGUGGAAGACACUGCGGUGUAUUACUGUGCAGCCAGAGAAGCACACUGACAGAAAGUCUCAUCUGAACUUUACAAAAACCUCUCAUGCUGUUCUGUCAUCAGUGGUUUUGAUCAGAGGAGCUG